CAGGAACCCUGCGUGGGCGUGCUGUAGUGGGGACCCCUUUUGGUCGUAGAAGCCCAUGGGGAAAUGGUGGGCGUCCAGGAAAACGACCUGAAAGAAAUGUUUAAAUGGUAGAUUGGCUUGACUGACAUAAUCUUUAUACGAUAAAAGACAUUUAGCGAUUGGCGUUUACCUAUUACAUAUAUAUUUUAAGGGAUUAGGAUAAGCAAGGUAUAUUGUACAAUAAAAAGCAAAAAAUCAGACCAAAUUGGCUCUAUUGACAUAACACUAUGAAAAUAUAUUUUUUGUGUAAAUAAUCGAGUUUGAGUAAAAACGUUCGGGUUUUCGAAGUCAUUUCGUCAGCCGCGCGAUAUUGAUCCCUGGAGAUAGGUUUAUAAUUGCAUAUGACAGCGGAUAUUGCUUCUGUUCUAUUCUAGAUUUUGUACAAAGAUUUUAUUUAUUUGUAUGAAACUUUUCGAUGAAAAAUGUGAAGUACAUAAUUCUAGCUUU